rnacentral:lncRNA from 10 species
AGAAUAUAUAAAACAUAUAAAUAAUAAAAUACUACCUAAUAAAGUCAGAGAGAGUUUGUGUCUUGCAGUUCUUUCGGCUGAAAUCCAUUUGUUAUUAUCCAUAAUAUAACUAGUCACAUUGUGUGGUGAUAAGUUGUAGUAUAGGAGCAUUCUAUAAUCUGCCAGUGAAGUCUAUUAAAUCUCAGUCUUAUAGUGGAUAUGUGUGCCAGGGCUGUGACAUUCACAAAUGUAUCUUUAUUCAUGUAGAUUUCUUCCCUCUGCCUGCUUCUUCUUCUGACUAAAGCAUUCUCAAUCUAUAUCCUUGCAGUCCCACACUUGUUGAUCAUUGCCAACCCCACCAGAUGAGACAGAAAAUUUGAAGGUGACUGGAACGGAGAAGAAUGUCCUUCCUCAGUUAUGAGCUCAUAGACCGAGGACUGCCUUGUCUCAGAUGGGACUUUGGACCUGGACUUUUGGGUUAAUGCUGCAAUGAGGAAUCUCAUUCAACAACCAGGAAACAUUAUCAUCUGAGAAAAGAAGAGACAAGGAGUCUUCACCAUGCCUUUACAGACUUUUCAUCUGUCCUUAUAAAGACAGCUCUGAGAAGUCAUUGGGGGAUCCGGAUCUGCAUAAGACAAACUUUAUUCACAAUACAGUUCCACAUUUCCCCCACCUUUUCAUAAUUUGUCCACAAACUAUUGUUAGUCCUUCACUCCUAUUCAGUGUCCAAGAGAAUCAUUUACAAACCAUCUUCUGGACUCUGGGCCCAAUCAUUACUCACCACUUCCUUCUUCCAAGUGGAGACGGUAUUUAAGUAUCAAACAUCUGGCCCUCUUUUUGGAGUUUUUAAUAUUUUGUAUUACUCUCAUGCAUAUGUGUGCAUGCAAUAAAUAUGUUAUAGUUUUCUCUUGCUAACUUUUUGUUGUUGUUAUAGUGGUGUAAGCCAUAACCCUUUAUAAUGGGGAGGAAAGGGAUCACUUCUUUUCCACCUCUACAAAUUCUUGUUCAAAACACAUGUUCCCGUGAAUUUAAUAUGAAGAUGUAAGUCAUGCUUAAUCCAUAAUCUUACACUUAUCUGAAGAAUUCUCUUUAGAAAAAAAAUAUAGUCUAUAUUCAGAAAAAAAUAAGUGCAAUAACUGAUCAUGUAGCUAUAUUUAAAUCAUCUCUGCCACAAAUUAUUAGAGACACUAUUUUGCAUACAUAAACUAUGCUAUUCAGACAUCUCCAGAGACUCCAGACUGUGAAAAUAACUCCUUCUCUUAAGACUUAAUACAAAUUAUUUGAUUAUUCAUCCCUCAAAAGAAUGGAAACCCAGCUUUGCCCCUAAACUCUAGGUAUAUUACAGAGUUAAUUAUAGUUCUUGUUAUCUCUUGUUUUGAUGUUAUCUUCUUUCUAAAUUCUUCACAUCACCUGCCUUGUCUACCGGGGUUGGUACAGAUAAUUUUACAUUUACAUGUUAUUCAACAAAUAUGGAACAGAAUAGUGAAACACUUCUACAGAGUUUUACAAAACACUGUCAGUGUCAGGAAGGUAUUUUUUUGCAGCAGGAUAUUAAUGGAAGAUUUUUGUUAAUAGAGAAAUUAUAUGGAACAACAGAGCAGUAAGUACACCAUGCAUCUGUUUUCUUAAAGUGUUUUGCUACUCCUGAGUUUCCACAUCCAAAGUUUUUUAUGAAUUAACUUGAUCUUCAGACAAAUUGUCUGCCUCAUUGUUAUUUAGGACUUCUCAGAUCUCUUUCCUUUUUCCUCUUUUUUUUUUUUUUUUUUUCUUCCAGGAGGAUACAGAACUUCACCCUUUCUCUCUCUGGCUUCAUUCCCAAAAUUCAGAAUUGUAUUCAUUUUAUGGGAACCACUGGCUCACUAACCUGCACCAACCUCAAGAUCUCUAUUUCUUUAUCCAAAAAUAAAUUAAGGUAUUGUGAUAACAAAAAGGCCAACUAGGUCAGGCCUCAAAGCAUUUAGUUGUUCAAAAGAACUAGCAGAGCUUUUAACAUUUCGUUCUUUCCUUGACAAGAGCCAAUGUUAAAUAUGGGUUUUCUUUCCCUUUAUCUCUAUAAAAUGUAUUCUUUAUUUUAGAAGAACUUCCAUUCAGUCACCCACCUAUUCAAAAUAAUCAGCUAUAAUUAUUUUUGUCUUAAAUAGCAUUCUACUUAUUUUCAGCUACACUUACACAACGCAUAGUGUCAUCACUGCACGGCAUCAACUUCAAGAAAUGCUUGAAUAAAAUCUCAGGAGGAAACAAACAGUUUCUGGAGAAUGUCUACAUCAAUAAUAGAAAAAAAUCUGAAACAAAAUUAAGUACAAUUAAAUAAUUUAAAAGUCAUUUUUGAUCAAUACUGAAAAGAAAUGAAACAUAGAAAUACAAGAAAAACAACCAUGUGUGAAUCCCAGAAUAUUAUUUAGACUAAAGUAUGGUUCACAUAUAUUUAUAUAUAUAAUGGUCUACUAUGAGAUCAAUGAGGUGCUCACAAUUUCUCAGAAAUGUUUUCAGUUGUCCAUUCCAUGUUUCUUCAAACACAGUGUCAGAAUUGUUAAAUGUAUACCUUUCAUACUUGGUCUCAUUUUAAAUCAGUAAAAGUAUUGUCUAGAUCUUCAAGGUUUGAUUCCAUAUGUAUUUUGCUGUGAAAAUUGCUCCAUUCAUUUAGAUAAUGUGACAUCAAAUUAUAAGCUCUAAGCAGCUGUCACUCUUUGCCAGACACUCGGAAAUCCUGAUGAGAACUGGCAUGCCAUUUAUCUCACAAUUCAGUGUCAACAGUAAUAAAAUCUAUGGGCUUAAUACAUUAACAGUUUCAAGGAGUAUCUGAGUUAAAAUGAAAACUUAAAAGUAUUUUAGUGCAUCAAAAUAACUGUGUACAGCUGAUACUGGUAUUGGUGAUAUAUUAGUUUGCAACUGAGAAAAUGUAAAGCACUUUGUGAAAAUAAAUAUUGUAUUAAAAAAGGGAUAUUUUUUCAAAUGACUCAAAUGUAUAAUAAAUAAAAAUUACACAUUAUAUUUAUGAAAACAACUAAGCCUUUAAGCUAACUUCUUUUAUUUGCUUAAUGCCUUAAAAUACACAGAUUAUUCAUGUAUACGUUUCACUUGAUGAUCCACAGGUCUCUUGGAAAUCACAGGCAUAUCCUCACUUUACCAAUUGAGAUAUUGGGUCUUGGGGCAUGAAAUAACUUCUUCAGAUUCUCCUAGUUGGCAUGUGUCAAUCCUUAAAAUAAAAUAUAGAAAAUAUUUCUUUUUUGUCCAAUUUUCUAGAUUUGUAUUUUACUAUGUCUCUUGCUUCUUCCUUUUAAUUCGUACUAUUUUAGAAGUCUUUCAUACAGAUUCAGAAUUGCAACUUAAUUUUCAUUUUAACACAUAAUAAAGAACUAUAAAGUAAACAAAAAUCAUAAAUUUCCAUGUCAUGGU